CUUGUCCUGAGUGUGGGGUUGGCAGGUUCUGUCUCGGCUGUGUUGGGAUUGGCUUGGAGAAGAAAGGGAGAAAUUAAGUUUAUGCUUGUGUUUUGAUAUCUGUGUGUGUGGGUGGCAAUAGCAGUGGACAAAGUCAAGGCUUAAGUCUUUCAGUUCUGUUUCUUUAGUAACUGGAGCAAAUGUUCCUGAUCUGCAUCCCAUCCUGAUGUGAUGCCAUCAGAUCACUGAUUCUCAGCAGCAGAGAAUGCGUUACUUCUGUAUGCCCCAAUUUCCUCAGCACAGUCUGAAUGAUCUUUGCCUUGGAAUGGACUAUAAAUGCUAGUUGUGGGACAGCAGAUUUAGCUGUCUCAUUUUUCCCUUCAGAUGCUGACUUGCAGUGCCCAUAAAAGUGUGAAAAGUUCCAGAAAUGUAAAGGUGUUGUCUUAACCUUCUGUGAUGGCAGCAAUCACAGCAUUAAGCAUGGCAGCAGUCAACUGUUGGGAGUUCAGUAGAGUUUUUGGGACGAGGCGGCUGCUUGUACCUACUAUUCAUGAAGAAAGCAAACCUUUAAAAACACAGAAAAUGUGCAGUUGAAUGGUUCUCCCUUCCACUCACCUUAAAUAAAUUUGUGGCUUCCCUUUGUUUGGGGGGGAAAGA